rnacentral:rRNA from 1 species
CGUAGGCAGCAAGCGUUGUUCGGAAUUACUGGGCGUAAAGCGUGCGUAGGCGGUGCCUCAAGUUUGGCGUGAAAUCUCCCGGCUCAACCGGGAGGGUGCGCCGAAAACUGAGGUGCUCGAGUGUGGGAGAGGUAGGCGGAAUUCCUGGUGUAGCGGUGAAAUGCGUAGAUAUCAGGAGGAACACCGGCGGUGUAGACGGCUUACUGGACCAUAACUGACGCUGAGGCACGAAAGUGUGGGGAGCAAACAGGAUUAGAUACCCUGGUAGUCCACACCCUAAACGAUGCAUACUUGGUGUGAGCCAUUCAUUUGGUUCGUGCCGGAGCUAACGCGUUAAGUAUGCCGCCUGGGGAGUACGGUCGCAAGGCUG